rnacentral:rRNA from 1 species
CCUACGGGGGGCUGCAGUGGGGAAUAUUGCACAAUGGGGGGAACCCUGAUGCAGCGACGCCGCGUGGGUGAAGGAGUAUUUCGGUAUGUAAAGCCCUAUCAGCAGGGAAGAACAAUGACGGUACCUGACUAAGAAGCACCGGCUAAAUACGUGCCAGCAGCCGCGGUAAUACGUAUGGUGCAAGCGUUAUCCGGAUUUACUGGGUGUAAAGGGAGCGCAGGCGGCGCGUUAAGCCUGGUGUGAAAGCCCGCGGCCCAACCGCGGGACUGCAUUGGGAACUGUACGGCUGGAGUGCAGGAGAGGUAAGUGGAAUUCCUAGUGUAGCGGUGAAAUGCGUAGAUAUUAGGAGGAACACCAGUGGCGAAGGCGGCUUACUGGACUGUAACUGACGUUGAGGCUCGAAAGCGUGGGGAGCAAACAGGAUUAGAUACCCCAGUAGUC